AUCCCAGAAUUGCUUUCUUCUCACCAUUGGCUACACUCAGUUGUUAGGAUUUGAUUGGUGAGAUUGAGAAACGCCUCUUUGAGCAUCAAGGACACCAGAGUGGGAAGAGCCCUAUUUACUCCUUAAGUGAUCUGGAGAAGGGAUAUUUCAGGACUGCAGGAGUCUUGCUCAGGGUGGACCAGCCCCCUGUUUCUUGAGACAGUGGUGCUUUGAUUAUCUCUCAGCAGGAGAUUUGGAUGAAGCGAAUCUCACUAAAGAUGAUGUGGAUGAUGCUGAACUUUUUGAAUUGAUUCAAAAGGUGGAAGAAGAGACUGAUCUUUCUGCUUGGACCAAUGAUAUCAUUACUUGUGGUUAUACUGGUCUGAUUAAACCAGACAACAAAGAGGCUAUAAUAAGAUCUAUUGUGCUGCAUGCAACCCUGCGUCUGAUCCCUUUGCUGAAGCAACUCAGGAAAGGUCUUCAAGUGUACAAUUUUGUGGACAUCCUGCAAGACCAUUGUGGAUUGUGCCAACAUUUCUUCAUCCCCAC